rnacentral:tRNA from 1 species
GCGCGAACAGGAUUGCGGUACAUUCCCUUGGCCUCCCGAGCCGAAGGUCGUGAGUUCGAGUCUCGCCGGGGCGCGCCA